UACGUAGGCAGCAGACGUUGUUCGGAAUUACUGGGCGUAAAGAGUGUGUAGGCGGUUUUUUUAGUUUGGUGUGAAAUCUCCCGGCUUAACUGGGAGGGUGCGCCGAAUACUGCAAAGCUUGAGUACUGGAGAGGAUAGCGGAAUUCCUGGUGUAGCGGUGAAAUGCGUAGAUAUCAGGAGGAACACCGGCGGUGUAGACGGCUAUCUGGACAGUAACUGACGCUGAGACACGAAAGCGUGGGGAGCAAACAGG
rnacentral:rRNA from 1 species